UACAGAGGUCUCAAGCGUUGUUCGGAUUCAUUGGGCGUAAAGGGUGCGUAGGCGGCGCGGUAAGUCGGGUGUGAAAUCUCGGGGCUUAACUCCGAAACUGCAUUCGAUACUGCCGUGCUUGAGGACUGGAGAGGAGACUGGAAUUUACGGUGUAGCGGUGAAAUGCGUAGAGAUCGGGAAGAACAUCAGUGGCGAAGGCGGCCUGCUGGGCUGUUGCUGACGCUGAGGCGCGACAGCGUGGGGAGCAAACAGG
rnacentral:rRNA from 1 species